CAGUAGCCACGGGAAUACGUAGGGUGCAAGCGUUAAUCGGAAUUACUGGGCGUAAAGCGUGCGCAGGCGGUUUUGUAAGACAGAGGUGAAAUCCCCGGGCUCAACCUGGGAACUGCCUUUGUGACUGCAAGGCUAGAGUACGGCAGAGGGGGAUGGAAUUCCGCGUGUAGCAGUGAAAUGCGUAGAUAUGCGGAGGAACACCGAUGGCGAAGGCAAUCCCCUGGGCCUGUACUGACGCUCAUGCACGAAAGCGUGGGGAGCAAACAGGAUUAGAUACCCGCGUAGUCCCUGUCUCUUAUAC
rnacentral:rRNA from 1 species